rnacentral:rRNA from 1 species
UUCCGGUUGAUCCUGCCGGAGGUUACUGCUAUCGGUGUUCGCCUAAGCCAUGCGAGUCAUAUGUAGCAAUACAUGGCGUACUGCUCAGUAACACGUGGAUAACCUGCCCUUGGGUCCGGCAUAACCCCGGGAAACUGGGGAUAAUUCCGGAUAACGCACAUAUGCUGGAAUGCUUUAUGCGUCAAAUGGAUUCGUCUGCCCAAGGAUGGGUCUGCGGCCUAUCAGGUAGUAGUGGGUGUAAUGUACCUACUAGCCGACAACGGGUACGGGUUGUGAGAGCAAGAGCCCGGAGAUGGAUUCUGAGACAUGAAUCCAGGCCCUACGGGGCGCAGCAGGCGCGAAAACUUUACAAUGCGGGAAACCGUGAUAAGGGGACACCGAGUGUCAGCAUCAUAUGCUGGCUGUCCAGGUGUGUAAAAUACACCUGUUAGCAAGGGCCGGGCAAGACCGGUGCCAGCCGCCGCGGUAACACCGGCGGCCCGAGUGGUGAUCGUGAUUAUUGGGUCUAAAGGGUCCGUAGCCGGUUUGGUCAGUCCUCCGGGAAAUCUGAUAACUCAACUAUUAGGCUAUCGGGGGAUACUGCCAGGCUUGGAACCGGGAGAGGUAAGAGGUACUACAGGGGUAGGAGUGAAAUCUUGUAAUCCCUGUGGGACCACCUGUGGCGAAUGCGUCUUACCAGAAACGGGUUCGACGGUGAGGGACGAAAAGCUGGGGGSAC